rnacentral:rRNA from 1 species
GAUGAACGCUGGCGGCGUGCCUAAUACAUGCAAGUCGAGCGAACGGACGAGAAGCUUGCUUCUCUGAUGUUAGCGGCGGACGGGUGAGUAACACGUGGAUAACCUACCUAUAAGACUGGGAUAACUUCGGGAAACCGGAGCUAAUACCGGAUAAUAUUUUGAACCGCAUGGUUCAAAAGUGAAAGACGGUCUUGCUAUCACCUAUAGAUGGAUCCGCGCUGCAUUAGCUAGUUGGUAAGGUAACGGCUUACCAAGGCAACGAUGCAUAGCCGACCUGAGAGGGUGAUCGGCCACACUGGAACUGAGACACGGUCCAGACUCCUACGGGAGGCAGCAGUAGAGAAUCUUCCGCAAUGGGCGAAAGCCUGACGGAGCAACGCCGCGUGAGUGAUGAAGGUCUUCGGACCGUAAAACUCUGUUAUUAGGGAAGAACAUAUGUGUAAGUAACUGUGCACAUCGUGACGGUACCUAAUCAGAAAGCCACGGCUAACUACGUG